UUUUGCUUAGAGGGUAUGUAAGACCCCCUUUCGGGGACCCCCACUGUAGUCUUGGGAGUGUGAGAGCACCCAAAGAAACACGAGGACCC
rnacentral:pre_miRNA from 7 species